rnacentral:rRNA from 1 species
UACGUAGGGGGCAAGCGUUGUCCGGAUUUAUUGGGCGUAAAGAGCGUGUAGGCGGCCUGGUAGGUCAGCUGUGAAAACUCGAGGCUCAACCUCGAGACGUCGGUUGAAACCACCUGGCUAGAGUCCGGAAGAGGAGUGUGGAAUUCCCGGUGUAGCGGUGGAAUGCGCAGAUAUCAGGAGGAACACCGGUGGCGAAGGCGGGUCUCUGGGCCGAUACUGACGCUGAGGAGCGAAAGCGUGGGGAGCGAACAGG